CAACUCCGGUUGAUCCUGCCGGACCCCACUGCUAUCGGGGUAGGACUUAGGCAUGCUAGUCAGCGUCUUCAAGCAACGGUGAAGACGCGGCGGACGGCUCAGUAACACGUAGCCAACCUGCCCUUGGGACGAGGAUAACCCCGGGAAACUGGGGACAACCCUCGAUAAGCGAGAAGGCCUGGAACGGUUUCUCGCACAAAGGACAACGAAACCAUGCUUUCGUUGUCGCCCGAGGAUGGGGCUGCGGCCGAUCAGGUAGUUGGUGAGGUAACGGCUCACCAAGCCUAUAACCGGUACGGGCCGUGAGAGCGGGAGCCCGGAGAUGGGCACUGAGAAGUGCCGUCCGCUGAGGAUGGCUUUUCUCCGGUGUAAUGAGCCGGAGGAAUAAGGGGAGGGCAAGCCUGGUGUCAGCCGCCGCGGUAAUACCAGCUCCCCGAGUGGUGGGGACGAUUAUUUGGCCUAAAGCGUCCGUAGCCGGUUCAGUAAGUCUCUUGUUAAAUCCAACGAUCUAAUCGUUGGACUGCAGGAGAUACUGCUGAACUAGGAGGCGGGAGAAGCCGACGGUACUCUUGGGGUAGGGGUGAAAUCCUAUAAUCCCAGGAGGACCACCAGUGGCGAAGGCGGUCGGCUAGAACGCGCUCGACGGUGAGGGACGAAAGCUGGGGGAGCGAUCCGGAUUAGAUACCCGGGUAGUCCCAGCUGUAAACGAUGCAGGCUAGGUGUUGGCGUGACUACGGGUCACGUCAGUGCCGCAGGGAAGCCGUUAAGCCUGCCGCCUGGGGAGUACGGUCGCAAGACUGAAACUUAAAGGAAUUGGCGGGGGAGCACCACAAGGGGUGAAGCUUGCG
rnacentral:rRNA from 1 species